GAUGAACGCUGGCGGCGUGCCUAAUACAUGCAAGUAGAACGCUGAGGGAGGAGCUUUCUCUUCUGGAUGAGUUGCGAACGGGUGAGUAACACGUAGGUAACCUGCCUGUUAGCGGGGGAUAACUCUUGGAAACGAUAGCUAAUACCGCAUGACAACAGUUAAUGCAUGAUAACUGUUUAAAAGGUGCAACUGCUCCACUACCAGAUGGACCUUCGUUGUAUUAGCUAGUUGUUGAGGUAACGGCUCUCCAAGGCGGCGAUACAUAGUCGACCGGGGAGGGUGGUCAGCCAACCUGGGACUGGGACACGGCCCAGGCUGCUAGGGGGAGGAGCCGGAGGGAAACUUCGGGCAUGGGCGGAAAGCUGAACGAAGAACGCCGCGUGAGUGGAGAAGGGUUUCGGGUCGUAAAGCUCUGUUGUAAGGGAAGAAACAGUGUGAGAGUGGAAAGUUCACACUGUGACGGUAUCUUACCAGAAAGCGACGGCUAACUACGUG
rnacentral:rRNA from 1 species